ACAAUGGGCGAAAGCCUGAUCCAGCCAUGCCGCGUGGGUGAAGAAGGCCUUAGGGUUGUAAAUCCCUUUCAGCGGGGAAGAUAAUGACGGUACCCGCAGAAGAAGCCCCGGCUAACUCCGUGCCAGCAGCCGCGGUAAUACGGAGGGGGCUAGCGUUGUUCGGAAUUACUGGGCGUAAAGCGCGCGUAGGCGGACUUUCAAGUCAGGGGUGAAAUCCCGAGGCUCAACCUCGGAACUGCCUUUGAUACUGUAAGUCUUGAGUCCGAGAGAGGUGAGUGGAAUUCCUAGUGUAGAGGUGAAAUUCGUAGAUAUUAGGAAGAACACCAGUGGCGAAGGCGGCUCACUGGCUCGGUACUGACGCUGAGGCGCGAAAGCGUGGGGAGCAAACAGGAUUAGAUACCCUGGUAGUCCACGCCGUAAACUAUGGGUGCUAGCCGUCGGAGAGCUUGCUCUUCGGUGGCGCAGCCAACGCAUUAAGCACCCCGCCUGGGGAGUACGGUCGCAAGAUUA
rnacentral:rRNA from 1 species